rnacentral:rRNA from 1 species
UACGAAGGGGGCUAGCGUUGCUCGGAAUCACUGGGCGUAAAGCGCACGUAGGCGGAUUGUUAAGUCAGGGGUGAAAUCCUGGAGCUCAACUCCAGAACUGCCUUUGAUACUGGCGAUCUUGAGUCCGGGAGAGGUGAGUGGAACUGCGAGUGUAGAGGUGAAAUUCGUAGAUAUUCGCAAGAACACCAGUGGCGAAGGCGGCUCACUGGCCCGGUACUGACGCUGAGGUGCGAAAGCGUGGGGUGCAAACAGG